rnacentral:rRNA from 1 species
UGGGGAAUAUUGGACAAUGGGCGCAAGCCUGAUCCAGCCAUGCCGCGUGAGUGAUGAAGGCCCUAGGGUUGUAAAGCUCUUUCACCGGUGAAGAUAAUGACGGUAACCGGAGAAGAAGCCCCGGCUAACUUCGUGCCAGCAGCCGCGGUAAUACGAAGGGGGCUAGCGUUGUUCGGAUUUACUGGGCGUAAAGCGCACGUAGGCGGACUAUUAAGUCAGGGGUGAAAUCCCGGGGCUCAACCCCGGAACUGCCUUUGAUACUGGUAGUCUUGAGUACGAGAGAGGUGAGUAGAAUUCCGAGUGUAGAGGUGAAAUUCGUAGAUAUUCGGAGGAACACCAGUGGCGAAGGCGGCUCACUGGCUCGAUACUGACGCUGAGGUGCGAAAGCGUGGGGAGCAAACAGG